rnacentral:rRNA from 1 species
UACAGAGGUCUCAAGCGUUGUCCGGAUUUAUUGGGCGUAAAGAGCGUGUAGGCGGCUAUACAGGUCCGCUGUGAAAACUCGAGGCUCAACCUCGAGACGUCGGUGGAAACCGUAUGGCUAGAGUCCGGAAGAGGAGAGUGGAAUUCCUGGUGUAGCGGUGAAAUGCGCAGAUAUCAGGAGGAACACCGGUGGCGAAGGCGGUUCUCUGGGCCUUACCUGACGCUGAGGAGCGAAAGCAUGGGGAGCAAACAGG